CCUACGGGAGGCAGCAGUAGGGAAUCUUCCACAAUGGGCGCAAGCCUGAUGGAGCAACACCGCGUGAGUGAAGAAGGGUUUCGGCUCGUAAAGCUCUGUUGUUGGAGAAGAACGUGCGUGAGAGUAACUGUUCACGCAGUGACGGUAUCCAACCAGAAGGUCACGGCUAACUACGUGCCAGCAGCCGCGGUAAUACGUAGGUGGCAAGCGUUAUCCGGAUUUAUUUGGCGUAAGGCGAGCGCAGGCGGUUGCUUAGGUCUGAUGUGAAAGCCUUCGGCUUAACCGAAGAAGUGCAUCGGAAACCGGGCGACGUGAGUGCAGAAGAGGACAGUGGAACUCCAUGUGUAGCGGUGGAAUGCGUAGAUAUAUGGAAGAACACCAGUGGCGAAGGCGGCUGUCUGGUCUGCAACUGACGCUGAGGCUCGAAAGCAUGGGUAGCGAACAGGAUUAGAUACCCGGGUAGUC
rnacentral:rRNA from 1 species